rnacentral:rRNA from 1 species
UUCCGGUUGAUCCUGCCGAAGGCUACUGCUAUUGGAGUUCGAUUAAGCCAUGCGAGUCUAAGGGGUACUUGUACCCCUGGCAUAAUGCUCAGUAACACGUGGAUAAUCUACCCUUAGGUGGGGCAUAAACCCGGGAAACUGGGGCUAAUACCCCAUAGAUACAGAAGGCUGGAAUGCCUCUGUAUUCAAAGCUCCGGCGCCUAAGGAUGAGUCUGCGACCUAUCAGGUAGUAGUCAGGGUCACGACCUGACUAGCCAACGACGGGUACGGGGUGUGAGAGCACUUGCCCGGAGAUGGUUUCUGAGACACGAAACCAGGCCCUACGGGGCGCAGCAGGCGCGAAAACUUCGCAAUGCGGGAAACCGUGACGAGGGAACUCCAAGUGUCUAUGCAAUGCAUAGACUGUUUUUCAGCCUAAAUAGCUGUUAGAGUAAGGGGUGGGUAAGACCGGUGCCAGCCGCCGCGGUAACACCGGCACCCCGAGUGGUAGCCACUAUUAUUGGGCCUAAAGCGUUCGUAGCCGGUUUAGUAAAUUCUUGGGUAAAUCGUACAGCUUAACUGUGCGGAUUCCGGGGACACUACUAGACUUGAGACCGGGAGAGAUUAGAGGUACUUGCAGGGGAGCGGUGAAAUGUUGUAAUCCUGCAGGGACCACCAGUGGCGAAGGCGUCUAAUCAUAACGGCUCUGACGGUGAGGAACGAAACCCUGGGGCGCAAACGGGAUUAGAUACCCCGGUAGUCCAGGGCGUAAACGCUGCUGACUUG